GGAGAGUGAGGCAGGAGGAUCACAAUUUUGAGGCCAGCCUGGGCAAGUUAGGGAGACCCUGCCUCAAAAUAAAAAUAAAAAGUUCUGGGGUGUAGCUUCUUAAUGGUAGAGUGCCUCUGAGUUCAAUACCCAGUAUCAUCUCUAACCUCCCCCACCACACACCCACACACAGAAUCUGUAGAGAUGCUGAAGUUGGUGGCAGAGUAUAGAUAGAUUGUGAAAAAAGGAAUAAGUGCUACCUUCAUGGAGGGACUUGGAACUGUGUCAUGCCUGUGGUAAAUGAUGGUGAUGAGAUGCCAAGAGACUGAUCAUCUAGACUAAAGAGCUAGUAAAGUGAUGAUGGAUGGUGGAUACACUGUGGUAGUGUAGCAUGGGGUAGGGUGACCGUUUUUCUUUUGGUUGAAAAAAGGAGUGUCAGAGCUAAAAUUUCCAUGAGAGUUAAUUGCUUUCUUGGAAUUGUUAGCAAAAGAUAGUUUUCAAUUAAAAAGAAGGCAUGUGGAGGUGAUUUGUUUAUUAAAAUUAUAUUGUAUAAGUGUUGGGUCAUGGAAAUGAAGGGCAGUCUUAAAAGGUAUUAACUGUAUAGUUUGGACACUCCCCAACCUUCCAAAAAGUACUGUUUAGCAUGGAAAUGUGGAAGGACAUUUAUUUCAGAUUGGAGAGUAGGGAAAGAUUGUUAGAGACCAGGAUGUAAGAGUUGAGUUUUGAAGAAAGGACGAGAGGUGGGUUGGAAUGGAAGGUUUUAGGAGAAGAGGACAGCACGUGCAAAGGCAUUGCAGAAUGAAAACGGUGACUUUGGGGAUGUGCAAGUAUUUUAGUCUGAUUUGUAAGGUGCUUGUUGGAGAGUAAGGAAUUAUAAAUGCAGUGAGGCCAUGGUGCCUAGCACAUAAGGGGACUUUCUGUGUCCAUUUUAAAAAAAUAUUUUGAAAUCCAGGCUGGUAGCACAUGCCUUUAAUUUUGGCUACUCAGGAAGCUGAGGCAGGAGGAUCAUGAUUUGGAGACCAAUCUGGGCAACUUAGCAAGAACUUAUCUCAAAAAAUAACAAUCUGGGGAUGUAGCUCAGUGCUAAGAGCACCCCUAAAUUGGUUCCUCAGGAUUGUAAAAUAAACAAAAACAAAACAAAUUAUCCUGAAAUUUCUACAGCUAUUGAAGGAUUUUAAGCAGGUGAGUAACAUGUUCACAUUUUUUAUUUUAGAAAGAAUUUUAGUGAUAUGUGAAAAAUGAAUUGCAGAGUUAGGAAUUAUCAAGAUGAGGGGGUAGAUGGGUUUUCUUUUGUAGCAAUCUGAACUAAAAGUGAUAGGGACAGAAUUAAGCUAGAUAGUGGUAGAAAGGAUAGCAAGGAGGAAAUGAAUUUGAGAGAGAGCUUUAUGUGGGAAUAUGGAUAUAACUUGGUGUUGGAUUAGAAAAGAGAGAGAAAGGAACAAGUUAAUGAUGACUUUGAAGUCAUAAACCUGGGGAACAGAAAAAGGAACAAAUUAAAUGGGAGCUGAUGUGAUAGAAAAGGGGAUUCUUAGGACAAAAUGAAGAAUUGGUAAGAUGGUGGAUGUGAGGAUGGAAUAAGAGGCAACUGAAUCUUCGAAAUGAGGAGUCUGGAGGAAAGGAAUUGAUGGAUUUAGUAAAGUAUGUUUUAGAGAUUAAAAAGAAGAUUGGUAUUCAGGUAUAUAAAGAAAUCUCUGGCAGAACAACUUUAAUAUUUUGUGUUAUAAAUAAGCAUAUCUUCUUGAGCUACAUUUUUCAGGGGUUAUUUUUAUUUUAUUGAAGUGAAACAUUACAGCUAUUUUAUAGUGUUUAAUUGAGUGGUAUAUAGAGCAUUUACAGGAUUGUGUUAUCAUUACCUCUGUUGAUUCAAAAGGUUUGUAUUAUAUUCAAGGGAGAGCCUGUAACCAUUAAGCAGUCAGUCCCUAUUUCCCAGCUUCCUCCAGUCACUGGCAG
rnacentral:lncRNA from 1 species